rnacentral:lncRNA from 1 species
AUCCGCACUUUAUUUAUUUAUUUGUUCGUUUGUUCGUUUAUUAGAGAGCUGAGGGGAGAGGCAAAAGGAGAAGGGGAGAGAGAGAAUCUCAAGCAGGCUCCAUGCCCAGCCUAAUGCAGAGCAAGAGCUCAUAGCCUUGAGAUCAUUACCUGAGCCAAAAUCAAGAGUCAGAUGCUUAACCAACUGAGCCACCCAGGUGCCCUUUAUACCCCCUAUAUUUAAUAACAAUGGCUAGACUAUUAUAUGGGAAGAAAAUAAAAGUCAGGUUUUACAGCCAUUUCUGAUUUCAGCGCAUCAGGAUGCUUCUUCCAUUAGCUAAACAGAUUAUUACCGUUCCAGAUGGUAGGUUGAAAUUCACACUCUUGGACUCUGAGCUAUUGGGGUCCUCUCAUUUAUCCAAGCUAAAAGAAGAGAGAGUAAUGGUACCAGCACAAAACCCAGUGCAAGAUUCGUGCUGUAUAGCUCCUCCCCCAGAUCAUCCAUUUUAAAUGCUGUGUUAAGUUACAUUGCUAAGGUUGAUGAACUCAGACUCUAUCAGCUCCAUAUCAAGUUGCCUUCCAAUGCCAUUUAAUGAAGAGAUGGAAAGGAAUAAGGUAUUUAAAGCCAUGUGACAGAAAGGAUCCACUGAGUGCAGGGUGGUAGGUAAUUACCAUGAACACAGAAUCAACUGGGCCCAACUGGAAGGCCAUUUGGAUGGGCCUAACUGCAUUAAAGUCCUGGGAACAUCAUGGGAAAGAAUGUACUCUGUUGGAAAAGAAAGUUGAAGAGGGAAGGGCUUAGUCCUUCAUCCUCAGAGGGAAUAGUUGAUUUCAUGGGGUGCUUGAUGUCUCUUAUACAGCUCAGCCUUCAGCCCAACACCCCUCCUUUGGUUUCACCUUCGUAUUUGGGUUCUGGUGCUGAGCUCUAGCCAUAGCAAGGAGGAAAUAAAAAUAAAGAAGAGUGGUAGUAAAAUCUCUAUAGGAUAUAAAAGGAAGGCAUUAGAGAAACCAUCUAGCCUAGUUGACUUGAGAUAUAAGAAAGACUGGGUUUAAAUCAUAGCUGAGCAUUUACUAGCUGUGUGGCUUUGGAUAUGUUACUUAGAGUCUCAGAGUCUUUGUUUCCCAAUGGGUAAUAAUGAUGAUAUUACCAGUAUCCAACUCAGGGUCAUGGUAUGGGAAUUUAAACUUGAUAUCAGACAUAAAGCCGUAGAGUAGGACUAAAUAUAGUGACUGAGGAUAACUGUUAUAAGUCCUCUUCCCUUCCUCUGCAAAGUAACUUUUGAAAUACUUGGAGUGAAGGAACCAAGUGGUGGAAGUAGUUGAGAACAUCCAUGCAGACAACAACAGAGACAAGAAACAGCUGUGGAAAGCUAGAGCCCCAGACAUGCAAGGGCAGCAAAGAGCUGUGCUCUGGAACCGGCGUCCUUGAGGCACAGAGGACAACAUCCCUGUAGAGAUGGUUCUUCGUUCACUCACUAAUUCUUUAAAUAGGUGUUGUUUGAUCUGCUAUGUGCAGGCCAUCGAGCUCAGGGCUAGGACAGCAAAGGAUAAGUGAACAUGCUCCCUGCCCUCACAGAGCUUAGUUAUUCUUGUGGAAGACUGUGUUCAUAAAAGACCCCCCAGGAACCUGCUGGUGAUUUCUACCAAGGAAACAAAGUCCAGAAAGAGGCUAGGGUUCUGACAAUCCCAUGGGUGGGAGCCGAGUCAGAAAGAAACUGCAUAAUUACAAUUACAGUCCUCCUGUGGUCCACGGGUUGGAAAAUAGCAAUUGCUAUAAUGCUGUUUUUGAGAAGACCACUCAAUAUUUCUUUCUGUUCACCCUUUAUAAAGUCCCAGAGGAAAAAAAAAAAGUCCCAGAGGAUUACUCCUCCAUAAAAAUAGUGUUGCAUAUACGUGCAGUCAUGCUUACUCCUGACAGCAGUUCACAGAGUAAUGUGCUACCCUCAUUUUAUAUUUGAGUUAGGGAGGCUCACAUAAAAAUGAAGCCCAAAGCAGGCAUGGCCAACGGUAAGCCUGGGCUGUGGCUUUCUCCAGAAGCCACAACAUCCAAAACACUGGGGCAGGGGGGCCAAGGGGCUGGAGAUGCUCUCUGGAGUCUGAAUGGGGAAGCACUAUGCCAAAGCUUACUUGUAGUGUCUUCUUUUCCUCUUUUCCAAUUUUCAUCCAGCUUUUCUGGUUCUUAUGGAUGACCCUUAUUAUCCAUGCAUACUUUGUUUGCCUCCCUCACACCCUUUAUGGAAAGAAAAGUGGUAUAAUUAAUUAUAUAUAUAUACAUAUACACACAUAUAUAAUUCAGUAUAUUAUAUACAAUAUGUAAUAUAUAUAGUUCAGUAUAUUUUCUCUCUCUCUCUCUCUCUCUCUCUCUCUAUAUAUAUAUAUAUAUAUGCAUAUGUAUUUGCCUAACAAUUCACGGUUUCAGUGAAAAACCCUUGACCAUUGUCAAGUACAAAGAGAACUACAGUGGUUUCACUUCUUGUUUUAGUAACUUGAAGCGUGAAGCAGUGGGGUGCCGUGGAAAGUGGGCUGCCCCGAGGAGGCAGGGGACCCACGUCCUGGCCCUGCUGCUCAUUUACACUCUGUUUUAUUGACAAUAAACUCAUUUCCUUGAACUUCAGUUGUGUCAGGAAAAUGGGGAAACUAAUUCUUAACCUGCUACCUCGCUCAGAUAAUAAGAAAUUCAGAUGUGGUCAUAAUUGUGUGACUAUGUUCCAAGUUGUAGGAUAGUACACAAAUUUAAAGCGUUCUCUCAUUAAUAUUAAUUCCUCUCUGUUCCACUCCUCAUCUCUCUUUAAUCUGGAGAACUAAAAUGGCUUCAAAGAACUGCGCUUGGGGAUCCCUGGGUGGGAUCAUGAUCCCAGAGCGUGAUCCUGGAGACCCGGGAUCGAGUCCCACAUCGAGCUCCCUGCAUGGAGCCUGCUUCUCCCUUUGUCUGUGUCUCUGUGUGUGUAUGUGUGUCUCAAAUAAAUAAAUAAAUAAAUAAAUAAAUAAAUAAAUAAAAUUAAAAAAAAAA